AUGGCGCCGCCGCAGCCAGCGCCACCGCCGGAGACGCCGAUCUUCCGAACCCCAGACGAGCUCCUCCACGACAUCUUCCUCCGUCUCCCCACUGCUGCCGACCUAGCCCGCGCCUCCGCGGCGUGCCCCUCCUUUCGCCGUCUCAUCACCGACCACGCCUUCCUCCGUCGCUACCGCGCCCUCCACCCGCCGCCUCUCAUCGGCGCGUUCGACGACACCGCCUUCAUCCCGGCCCAGCCGCCGCACCCCUCCGCCGUGGCUGCCCGCGCCUUCGCCGGCUUCGACUUCUCCUGCUCCUCCUUCCUCCCCUCCACCGCCAGCCUUACCUGGAGCGCGAUUGACUUCUUGGACGGACGCGCCCUCCUCGCCGGCGCCCCAGUCCCACGCAAACGCGGCAGCUCUCAUCUGCGCAACCUCCAGUACCGCUAUUUUUCGGCCAGGGAGCUCGCCGUGUGCGACCCCGUGCACCGCCGCUACAUCCUGCUUCCCGCCGUCCCCGGCGACCUGAAAGCGCUGGUCAGUGAACCGGACCUCCUCCAUCUGGAGACUUUCCUUGCUCCCGGCGAGGAUGAGGAGGAACCGUUAUCAUUCAGGGUCAUGUGCUUGGUGCAAUGCAGAACGGAUAUGGUGCUUCUCGUCUUCUCCUCGUUGGAUGGGCAAUGGCAUUCUCUUGCAUUUGAUCUGUGGAGUGCUGCGUCUGAUCCACUUAAACACCCCAAGGAUGGGCUCUCUCAGAUCGUCAGUUCGUCCACGGAUGCUUCUGUUGGCAUUUCCCCCUCCUGA
rnacentral:rRNA from 1 species